CUCUCGUCCUGUUUCAUUGGCGUCCAGCUGCGGCGGCGGCUCACAUGAAUAUGCGGCGGCGGCCAAGAGUAGCUCGGCCGGGACGCCCAUCUUCUCACCGGCCAAUGGCGUUGACGUGACUGACCAGUGACCAGGUUGUUUUUCGGCACGGUGCACUCACUUUAGUGGAGCCUUGUUCUUUUUCCGUUGAUAUUGAAUCCUGCUCCAAGUCUCUAACCUCAAGUAGCUGCUUUUGAAGUCCACCAAUCACAUGCGAGGUUAUGCCAGGAACCACCAGUCCACCACAGAUCUAGUAUGUGGGACGACAGGGUUGUAUCUCCUUGUACAGGUUGGCAACUCUUUCUCUUCUAAUGUUUAUAGGUUCAAUCGAACAUGAGGAUGCCUUCUAUUCCCAUAUGUGCCACAUGUAAAUAGGUCCAAAAUUCAGAUUUGGGGAUUUUUCUUCUGUUCACGGGUGUGUGUCUUUGGAUACAUUACGUCGUCGUUGCCGCCGCCGCAGCCGUCCAUGUGCGGUGGAGCGGCCAUGGUGAAGUUUCAUGCAUGCGCGACGAGUGAUCCGACUCGCCCAAUCUCACCUGCAGCUGCAGUGUCGCAGCCCUCCCUCGGGUCUGCUCUCUCCCAAGUCUGCACACGCCAUGGAUAUAUGAUGUCAGAUUGAAGAACACAUGAUCAAUCACCAUGGAUCUCCUAGCUACCGAUGGUGCCUGUUUGAUCCACGCCCUAUAAUAUACUGCGUGCAUGCCAUUAAUUUGCUAGUACGUACACACGAGAAACAGUUGGCAGCUUCCUUUGCACCCAUAUAAUCAAGUCAUGUUUCUUAUUGAUGAUGAUGUAUAUAUUCCCUGCAAAAAUAAUGAUGAUGUAUAUGUACUCCUGAUGCAUAUGAACUUAUGAACUUACUUUUCAUUUCAAAUGA